GACGUAGGGUGCAAGCGUUGUCCGGAUUUAUUGGGCGUAAAGAGCUCGUAGGCGGCUCGUCGCGUCGACCUGAAAACCUGGGGCUUAACCCUGGGCUUGCGGUCGAUACGGGCGGGCUAGAGUUCGGUAGGGGAGACUGGAAUUCCUGGUGUAGCGGUGAAAAUGCGCAGAUAUCAGGAGGAACACCGGUGGCGAAGGCGGGUCUCUGGGCCGAUACUGACGUGAGGAGCGAAAAGCGUGGGGGAGCAAACGGAUUAGAUCCCCA
rnacentral:rRNA from 1 species